rnacentral:lncRNA from 1 species
GUGCUGGCUCCCAGAAGAGGAACCUGCUGCAGGCGCCGGCGCGGGCGGCGAGGACGACCUGUUUUUCUGACCCAGCCCGGAAGCGCUGGUGCAGGUGGUCUCUGAAUGAGGGUUCCUCUUUGCCUCUGAUGUCUGGAAGGGGAAUUCAGCAAGAGGGACUCCAGUCUGGAGCUCUGACCCCAACUUCCUCAAUCCAGGCCCUCAAAGAGGGCGGCCUGUGUCACCGGGCGCCGGAUUCCCCGGGGGGUGCCCGGGGUUGGGGCGGCACAUUCCCACCUGGAGUGCCCUCAUGCCUGGCUAUGCCGGACCUGCAGGGUCACACCCUCUCUCUGGACCUUUCCCUCCCCUGCACCCCCGCCCACGCCCCAGGCCCUCUGCUGCUUAAGCCAUGGCCCUGGGUCUGUAUCCUGACCUGGGCUGGUCAUUGUUCUGCAUUGGGUAGUUUAAUUACAACUUUCUCUGCGCUUAUCUGGUCUAUGAGCUCGUGAUCGCAGGGACCCUAGCACAGGGUCUGGGACUUACUGAGAGAUCAGUAAAUGUUCAUGGAUGGUGGACAUGGGUGUGUAGGAUGCCGGUCUCCUCCCCUGAGAAGGGGCUUGGGCAGAGGAGUCCCUAGUUCGCCAGGAGCAGCCUCGCCCCACCUGACCAGGCCUGGGACAAACCAACAGGUUGCUGUCCUGGAAGGAAAGGGGUGCCUCCUUCCACCUGGGGAGGCUGAGCUGCUUCUCUCCUCUUAGGCCCUGUGCUGCAAGGCGCCCAUACCUCCAGUCCGCACCUCAGGAGUCCUUCCCGUGUCCUCUGGGAGUUCCUGCCCAUGCUGGCUGAGGCCCCAGGUCUGCCUGGGAGCAGUCCCACAGAGGGAAGGUGGUGGAGGAAGGGGCAGGGAUGCUGGCUGAGGAAAGGCCCUCUUUCCUACGAUGGCUGUACCCAGGAAGCCGGCCGCAGGUUCCCUAAGCCGAGGCAGCGCUGGCUGUAGUUUCUCUGGGCUCCUGGGCUGGUGCACCUGCCCCUGCCUUCAGAACGGGCCCCUGUGCAUGGCUGGCAUCUGUGAUUGGGGGUAGUGCGUGUUUCUGAGUAAUGUGAAAAGAGCAGCUUCUUUGACUUCACCAUUCCUAGAAAAUGGCCUCAACUUGCUGGAAGAGUGGGGACAGAGGGUCUCAGUUUCUCAUGUGAAGCUUGCAGGCCAUUGUCUUCAGCACCCAGCAUGUUUUGGGGCCUUUGAGGGACUUGAGGGGCUUUUUGAGGAACUCUGGGCAUGGGGUUUUAGCCGAGGCUGAAAGUGGAGUUCCCAGGCUGCUGUGCUGAGUCCCAGCUCCCUGCAGCCUCCUGGGUCUGGCCACGUCCACCCGCCCUCCUCCUUUCUCCUGCAGUUGUGCCUCUUUUCCCUGCUGCCUCCUCAGCCAAGCCCAGGGAAGGACUUAAAGGGCAGUGGAGGGGGAAAGAGGCUGGUGGCCUUGAUGCCUCUAGGCAGCCGCCUGUUCUCUGGGCUCUGGGCCUGGGUGCCCAGGGAGGAUGAGUGUCAGUGGAUUUAUUUUGCAUCAGAAGGAACAGACUGCUCCAGAUGCCUUUUCUGGAGUGUUAGGACUUGGGGCAAAAGAGAUGGGCCCAUCUCCUGAGUUUAGUGCCUGGAGUUUGCUUUAGUGCUAAAGCAAGAAGUAAAAAUGGGAUUUAAAGAAACCAAAUGGAAUCACAGUCAUGGAGUGUCAGACCUGGACGAUGCCUUGGUGACGAGGUGACUCCCUUCCCUUGGCAGAGCAGUGGAAGAAACUGAAGCUCUGAGAAAUUCAGGGAUGUGCUAGAGGUUCCAGAACUAGGCCUGGAACUUUCUUCGGGGUUCAGUGCUAUGCCCGAAACAGUGGAAGGAGCCCGCAGUGUGGCACAGAGCCCCUUCAGAGCUCCAGCAAUCUUGAGCUUAGCGUAUGAGUAGACCCUGGAAGCCAGAGGACUGCCUGCCAUCUCCCCAGAGUUCUCAGGACCAGUGCUGCUGAGGUGAUGCACUUGAAGUGUGUGUCCACAGUGGUCAAAAGUUAGCGCUGGGGCCCUGUGCCCUGGCUCCCACAUCUCCAGGUCUGGCCUCCAUCGGCCCCUCCCUUUCCUUUGUGGCCUUGGCCUUGGCUUAUCAGUGUCUCUGCCAGGAUGUCCUCAUCCUAGAGGGUGAGCUGAUAAGGCAGUCUCAUAGGAUGCAGGGUUGGAAGGUGCCUCAGGGACACUUCAGCUGAGCCCUCUGUGAAAACACCAACCCCUGCAGGAGGUGGCAGGCGGAGGGGCCCAGGCUGCACUCAGGCUGUAGGAAGUUUGUUUCUGUGUUUGCCCUCCCCAUGGGCUGCACCAUCCUCAGUGCAGGGGCUUCAGCUUCCACACCUAGCACAGUGCCGGCCUUGCUGGACACUCAAGAAAGGCCUUGAGCUUCCUUUUUUCUUCUCGCUGUGGAAAUUGCCUGGAAAGCUAUGAACUGUUGGUUCUUGAAUCAGUUGGCUGCCCCGGAUGUCUGAAUCCCUUGGAAGGAACCUGGAGGAGUUGGCUGAUGGGCUCCAGGUGCAUGCCAGGCUGUGGAUCUGCCGAGCUUCCUAGUGACCUGGAGUCUGAGCUGCAACUAUGUUCUGUUCUAAUUUCUGUGUCUCUGUAUUCUUUGUAAUUGGGCCACGCUCUUAGACAGCUAGAGCAAUUAAUGACCUUGAGAAAUGAUCCCAGCGCUGAAUGCAGAAUCCUGCUCUUUUGAAGUCAGCCACUUUCUUUGUGGGUCUAAACGUGUUUGUGUUUUCCCCUCUUGGGCAUGUGCCUCCUCCUUCAGCUUUGAUGCUGCCUCUAUAACAACAGGGUUUAGAAUUAUUAAUUCCUCUGCACAGCAAGGUGCAGUGUUAUUAUACAAAAAGGGGAAAAUAUAAUUGCUAUCUUGAGUAAUCAUUUUCUGAAGGCUGAAAGUGUAACCUUUAAUUAAUAUUUCAUCUGCAGCCAGGGUGGGUAACUUGAACAGGGCCUAAAAAUAUUCCUGUCCCAGUGCAUGGAGAAAUCAUGAACUGUGCGACAUGGAGCCAGUGUGUGCUAUUGAAUUGUUGGCAAUUAUUUCUAAAAUUAAAAUGUUUAACCACAUUAACCCAUAAUAAAAUGGGGGGAGAGCUAUAGAGGUGCAACUCUUUACUGAGUAGGAUAAAUGUGCAAAUUCCUGGCAUAAUUUGUCUCAGCCACCUGCAUUGGGAGAGCCAUCUCACCUGCCUGAGAAAUGAAUUUGGGGCCCAGGGGCCUGGUGGGCCAGGAAGUCACUGAUCAAAGCUUGGCUUCCAGGCGGUGGCUGUGUCCACCAGGCACUGUGCGGGCUGGAGUUGGACUUCUACAGGUCACUGGGUUUAAGGGUGGGAUGGGAAGCACUGUCUUUGGUGUUUUCCAGAGCGGGGCACUUGAGAUGUUCAAAGUGCUUCCUGAGAGACGGCCAAAGGGUGUUCCCUGGGUGGCCUGGGAGUCCAAGAGACAUGUACUCUGGGGCAGGAAGAGGGCAGGUGCUACCGGAUCACCCUAACAACCCUCUGGGACCUGUGGCCAUGUGUUCACAACAGCAGCCAUUACAGGUGUUUCCUGAACUCUUGUCGCGAGCCUCUGUCGGCUCCAUCUCAUCGAUCCUCCCAGCAACCCACAAGGAAGCUUCACAGAGAGGCAGAUGCCACACAGGCCACCCACCCAGAUGCAGAGCCAGAUUCCCUGCGUGGACUGGACGGGAGUUUCCCAGCUGGAGUUCUCUCGGCCAAGCUGCCUGUGACAUGGGGUUGGAGGUGCUCCAGAGAGUCAUGGCCACCCCUGGAGGAAGUGACUUGUGGCUGACUGCUCAAGGGGAAGUCCUGUGGCAGUGGAGUCGUCAGCAUUAAUUCAAAUAAGAUCUCUCCCUGCACACAAUCUGCUUUCGUGUUCCUGAUGGAUUGAAUCAAGAGUGAAUGAGCUCCUACUUCGCGAAAGCAAAACAAACUAAACGCAUCAACCACGACCGCAGAGCCCCCAUCUCUCCCAGGAGGGACCAUCUGCUACCGGCCCCAGCCCAGAUGAUACAGUUAGAGCCUACCCACAGCAUCCUCCCCGCCUUCAGACAGUUCCAGGAACAGGGGGAUUCUGAAGGGCCCGCCCUUGGCAUUGGCUGAAACGCGGUGGGAGUAUUGAAAACGCUGGACCUGUAACUCCACAGAGAAGCGCCUCCCCACCUCAACACCAGCACUGUUCUCAAUGUGUGGUGGCCUCUCCCUGCCUGAGAGCUGGUCAUUUUGGCUUCAGGGAGCCGGGUGAGGCAAUGCACGGCCAGCAGGUCAUUUGACCUCAACAGCGCAGGCUCUGCCGGCUGCGAUUCCAUCACCCCUGGACUAGCAGAACCACUGCCUUUGCAGGAGUCUCAAAGGCCUGGGCUUUUGGGGGUGCUUCUCCGCCACUCCUGACUGCUUCUUUCCCUUCGGGGGCCGUGGCUGGUGCCUGCUGCGGGGUCAUUGCGUGACGCGAGCACCGCAGCAUCUCAGGUGCACGCGCCCUUCGAUGGCCCUGAGGUGCCCGGGAGCAGGCGAGGGCCGAGUCUUAACAGCUCCACUUCCUGUCCCCGAGUCUAUCUGCCACUGCUCUGUAGAGUCCUACAGUUUAUCUGUGGUCAGUUUUCUUACCCAUUUCCUGCCAGCUGCUACUGGUUUUUUAGUCAGCUCUGACAGCUACGGUAAUUGGGAAAGGACGCAGGCUGCUGGGGCCGGGUGAUUCACCAGCUCUGGCCAACAGGGACAAGGAGCACAGACGGAGGCACCCCGUCGGUCCCCCAGGGCCUGGUCCCCCAGGCUUCAAUGAGUGAGACACAGAAAAGACCCAGGGGCACACUCAUUGUGAACCGAAAGCUGAUCUCUGUGCACGCGCGCGUGCAUGUGACAUAAGGGAAUUUUUUUUUUUUGAAUGUGCCAGAGCCAAUAUAAAUGGUUUCAUGUUUUGAGAAGUCAGAACAUAACUCCAGGCUGAGUGAGGCCCCUCUCCCGGGGAGCCCCAUGUUUUCUCUGAGGUGUAACUGCGGUGAGUUGUCUGUGCCUCAGAUUAGGAUACUGGAGUCACACUUAACAUUUUAUUUCAUGGCAUUUCCAAAAACGAAGGGAAAACCCCCAUUGCAGCAAAUGACUCCUCCAAAUAGAAAACUUUGUGUCUGUUUUGUAAAUGCUGUGGAAGGGAGUUUUGGAGCUGCCUCACUGUCAGUCAUCGCCCAGCCAGGUGCCUUUGGUUGCUGAGUGUUGCACUCAGGGGUGGGCUGCUGGCUGCCGAGCAGUGCCCCUCAGAGGCGGGGGCAGGACCAGCCACACAGCCUCACCUGUCUGGGCCUCUGGAGCCAGCGCCUCCGAGUUUUACCUGACUCUCCGGGUGGCCCUGUUGCCUACUCUAGUGUGAGAAGCACCUCUCUAGACUUUACUGGAAGCUAAUAUUAAUUUUAUUGAUAGCCGUGGGUUAUGGAGCAUGAAAAUGAUCCUCCAAUGCAGAAUGAAAUGACCCACUUCACACAGAUUUACUGCCUUCCUCCCAGGCACCAGGAUCUGUGCUGGGCACAGCAAGGGACCACCUGGCCUCGGGAGCUAAGGGCUCUGUCUCCAGGGGUCCCAGUCUGGAGAAGGUGGGUAAAGCAAACAAGGAAGCCUCCUAAUAAGAAGUUCCCUAAUCAGACAUGGACUUUGCUGCCAGGAGCACCCAGUGGGGCCAGCCUGGGGCCCAGGGAGGUAAGCAGAAGGGGCUCACUGUAGUAGUAGGUGAGACACAAACAGUUUCAUCCAUGGGUAGGAAAUAGAUGAGGGGGAGGGAGAGAGUUAGGAGAUGGUCAUGGAGAUUGCGGGUGCUAAGAAUGGCCUUGGUGGGUUUGGGGUCAUCCCUGCUCUGACACUGUACAGCACAGUCAGCUUGAACCAGUCCCUGACCUCUCUAAGGAUCAGUUUUCUCAUCCAUGCAAUGGGUUUAAUGAUAGUUCCUUUUGUGAUUGUUGUGAUACUUCAAUGAGAGAAUAAUGCAAAGUGCUUAGUGCAGCCCUCACUAAGCUCAGUAAGGAGGGUGACUGCAUCUGAGGGCAGUGGGAGCCACUGAGGGGGUUUCAGCCGGUGAGUGACGGGAGCAGAUUUUUUUUUCUUGAAUAAUUCCUGGAAAUGCUUUGAUCAUUUAGGCCAGCAGAGGCUCUUGGUUGAGCAUGAGACGCAUGAACCAUUAAGAUUGCAGGAUAUAAUCAUGUGCAAAUUUUAGACAAUACCUGAAAUCCUAAAAUGCAUUUCCUUUUUCCCAUCGCCAUAG